CCUACGGGAGGCAGCAGUGAGGAAUAUUGGUCAAUGGGCGCAAGCCUGAACCAGCCAUGCCGCGUGAAGGAAGAAGGCCCUAAGGGUUGUAAACUUCUUUUGUAGGGGGGUAAUUUACGGAUCGUGAUCUGUAUUGAAAGUACUCUACGAAUAAGCGUCGGCUAACUACGUGCCAGCAGCCGCGGUAAUACGUAGGACGCAAGCGUUAUCCGGAUUCAUUGGGUUUAAAGGGUGCGUAGGCGGGCCUUUAAGUCAGAUGUGAAAGAUCACAGCUCAACUGUGGUAAGCAUUUGAAACUGAAGGACUUGAGUUAAGGAGAGGAAAGUGGAAUUCCUAGUGUAGCGGUGAAAUGCGUAGAUAUUAGGAGGAAUACCAGUGGCGAAGGCGACUUUCUGGACUUAUACUGACACUGAGGAACGAAAGCGUGGGGAGCAAACAGGAUUAGAUACCCUGGUAGUCCACGCCGUAAACGAUGAGUGCUAGGUGUUGGGGGUCAAACCUCGGUGCCGCAGCUAACGCAUUAAGCACUCCGCCUGGGGAGUACGUACGCAAGUAUGAAACUCAAAGGAAUUGACGG
rnacentral:rRNA from 1 species